rnacentral:rRNA from 1 species
UCGGAAUUACUGGGCGUAAAGUGUGCGCAGGCGGCAGAGCAAGUCGAGUGUGAAAGCCCCGGGCUUAACUUGGGAAUUGCGCUCGAAACUACUUUGCUGGAGUGUGGCAGAGGAAGGUGGAAUUCCACGUGUAGCGGUGAAAUGCGUAGAGAUGUGGAGGAACACCAAUGGCGAAGGCAGCCUUCUGGGCCAACACUGACGCUCAUGCACGAAAGCGUGGGGAGCAAACGGG